rnacentral:rRNA from 1 species
AACGAACGCUGGCGGCAUGCCUAACACAUGCAAGUCGAACGAUCCCUUCGGGGAUAGUGGCGCACGGGUGCGUAACGCGUGGGAACCUGCCCUUAGGUUCGGAAUAACUCAGAGAAAUUUGAGCUAAUACCGGAUAAUGUCUUCGGACCAAAGAUUUAUCGCCUUUGGAUGGGCCCGCGUUGGAUUAGCUAGUUGGUGGGGUAAAGGCCUACCAAGGCGACGAUCCAUAGCUGGUCUGAGAGGAUGAUCAGCCACGCUGGGACUGAGACACGGCCCAGACUCCUACGGGAGGCAGCAGUGGGGAAUAUUGGACAAUGGGCGAAAGCCUGAUCCAGCAAUGCCGCGUGAGUGAUGAAGGCCUUAGGGUUGUAAAGCUCUUUUACCCGGGAUGAUAAUGACAGUACCGGGAGAAUAAGCCCCGGCUAACUCCGU